GCAGAUCCCAGAUCAUGUAGCACUCCGGUCUAUAACGGACCCCAUUGUUGUCUUGGAGGGCCAUUCGAAGAGGGUCGGGAUUAUCACAUGGCAUCCAACUGCCCGGAAUAUUUUACUAAGUGCAGGCAGUGAUAAUAUGAUAAUUAUUUGGAAUGUGGGGACAGGGGAGCCCUUGAUAACUCUCGAUGAGCUACACAGUGACCUGAUUUACAACGUCUGCUGGAACCGCAAUGGCAGCCUCAUCUGCACCACCUGCAAGGACAAGAAAGUGCGCGUCAUUGAUCCGAGGGAGCAACGCAUCGUUGCUGAAAAGAACAAAGCACAUGAAGGCGCUCGCCCAAUGAGGGCCAUCUUUACGUCCAACGGUAAAGUCUUCACCACAGGAUUCAGCAAGAUGAGCGAACGGCAACUGGCCCUCUGGGACCCGGUAGGAGCUGGUUCAUCAUUGGCUGGUUGGUGCUGGGGCGGGAGGGGUCUGUGGCAACAGCCUGGUACACAACACAAGCAACGGACAAAGCCAAACACAUCCAAACAACCACUUGGCAAUAAAUGGAGCCGAAUAUGAUCAAACUCCUGAGUAGAAUCCCUCAUUUGCUUUUAAUUUCACUUCUGGCAUUGUGCAGUUUCUUUGCAUUUAUUGGUGAAAUAGCACAAACAUUCUGGUUACUGGUAGACCAGUUGUGACUUUGUUUGGUUUAAUUCUUCCUAUUUGUGCUUUUGCUGAUCCACCACGUGAUCUUUGCAGAAUUCCUGAUCCCUUUUCUCCACUCGUCCCCCACCCAACUGUUUGCCCACCUCCCUGUCUUUGGUGGAGAUUGGCCAAUAUGAUAAUUGGAUCAAUCUCUUGAAAGCAAUAAAUACUGACUAAAGUGACUACUCAUUCCAGACCUGUUCUGUAGCUCAUGCUUCUUAUCGGUGGAAUUGUUACUGAGAAUGUUUCUUCCUUCGCCUUGACCCGUUGCUCCUGAUACAAGUUUGAUCAUAUUCAGCAUUUAUUUUGACAGGCUCCUUGGAACUGGGCUGUACCGUUAAAGAAACAAAUUGAGUAAUUUGUUAUCAAACCAGAUAGUUUGGCUCACAAUGCUGUAAGAGUUCUGUGUUCUGUCCCAGCUGGACACCUUGCUAAGAGAAAGUGGGAAGAACUGUUUCUAUCUCAACCAGAGUUCCUCUUCACAGGCCAACUAAUCCACUUUGUUAAAAUGAUAACAUUGACAGCAAGCAAAUUUCUUUACAGAGAAACAUAUGCAUGGGGUUCUAUGCACUGCAUACACUCCUAGAACGAAUUGGACUUGUAUCAAAACAUGAGCUGGUAUUCUUAUUGUUGGCCAGGAGGAGGAGUUCUAGGGCUUUCUCUCUCACAAUGGGAAUAUUUGCUUCAGACCUCCUGGAGGUUUCAGGAUUGAAAGUGAAUCCUUUGAUUUCUGUCUGAAGCGAAGCUUCCCCAAAUGGUUAUACAGUUGUUCUCUUGUUGUUUUAAUUAUCGCUUUCUUCUUCAGGAGAAACUGGCCCCCCAUGAAGGCAUGAGGCCGAUGAGGGCCGUUUUUACACGGGAGGGAAACAUCUUUACCACAGGAUUUACCCGAAUGAGUCAGAGGGAGCUGGGGCUAUGGGACCCGGUAGUAUUCAAUGACUGCAAAAGGUCUAGGCCAAUGUGCAUCAUCCAUUAGCAACAUCUUCAAAUAGGAUUAUUUUUCAGAAUAUACAAUCUUUAAGCCAAACAGCAAAAUUUAAAAAAAGGACGGAAGUGGGCAUGUAUGAUGGAAUAUAUUAAUAUAAUGAUAUUGAUUAAACAUCUAUAGCUAUGCAUUGUCUUUGUUGUUUCAACCAAACCUUGGUUUGGUAUAAAGACCGCAAGAACUGCAGAUGCUGAAAAUCGGAAACAGAAACAGGAAUUGCUGGAAAAGCUCAGCAGGUUUGUCAGCAUCUGUGGAGAGAAAUCAGAGUUAACAUUUCUGGUCAAGUGACCCUUCCUCAGAACUGAUGGUAGCUAGGAAUAUUUCAGUUUACCUGAUUGGUUGAUGUAGUAUGGAGUGGAUACAACAAAACUAAGAACUGGAAGGUGCCAUGGGAUAAUUGAUGUAUCUCGCUCUGGCGCUCUUUCUAGUAUGUUCAGGAAUACUAAGAUUUGUUGCAGGAUAUUCAUGAAAAGAAAAGAGAGACAAAUUUGGAAAAGCUGUGCCAGCUGUAAGAACAGCUCGUAUGCUAGCGUGAUGUACCUUUUUCCUGAAAAAUUUGAUGACUGUAGCUAUUUUUGUUAAAUUGUCACCCUGAGGCUUAAACCUGACCACGCAGAACCCGCAGGGCUCUGAAUUCUAGCAUAGAUGUUUUCUAAUCGAGCUGUUCAUAGAUGUUAUUACACAGGCCUCGACUUGAACCCAGGCCUCCUGGCUCAGAGGUAGGAACACUACCACCACACUAAAAGGGCACCAAAAGGACACUACACUGGAGAGCGUCUGUCAAAUUAACAUAGCUUAGUAUUAAGUCGGGAUGAUUUUUGUGUCAUCAAAUUAAAAGGAAGGCUUGCAUGCAACACAUACUAACAUUUCAAGGGAAAGCUGGGACUGAAAUGGUGUUAAUCUGUUCUAGUCCAGUGCUCUCUCCUAUGGUUACUGCUUCCUGCAGUUUGACUGGCAUUGUUUCAUAGAAAGUGGUCCCAUAGGCUUCAAGACCAAAAGUACUACCUCAUCUCUUUCCCCCAGUAUACGAAGUCAUUUGUCAGUGCAGGAUUCUCAUAACCUCAGUAUUUGAUAUUAUUUCUGUAAGACAAUCUUUAAUAAAAUUAAGAAGUGUGGGAUAACCCUAGAAAUACUGUUUGAUCAAGAGCACAUAUCCCUUUUUGCUUCUAACCAUUUGAACAAAAAAUAAAUCACUUCUGAUCUGGAUGAUGAUCAGAUAUUGUUAAUGGUGAAUUGCUGCUACAUGGAUGAUGCACAGGCCUGGCCUCUGGAGUGAAGUGUGGAUUGCAUGCGUGUGCCUUUCUCAAAAAGGGGAAACAAGCACACGGGCAUGAUAAUAAAGUGACACAUUGUCACCUCUAACAAGAAUAUCAAAAGAGUUAUUGUUUCAACUGAACCAAGUGUGAAUGCAGGCAGCUGCAAACUAAAGAAAGCAGCCAGAUUAUUCACAUAGAGAUAAC